UACGCCCAGCUGCUACUGCUAACUGACGCUCCCUGUGGCUCCUGAGACAAUCUCCGACUCCGCUCCUGAAGGAUUACGACCUGUGCAUCACCUGUUAUAACACUAAAAACCACGACCACAAGAUGGAGAAAUUGGGCCUUGGCCUAGACGAUGAGAGCAACAACCAGCAGACUGCAACAACCCAGAGCCCUGGUGACUCUCGCCGCCUGAGCAUCCAGCGCUGUAUCCAGUCCCUUGUCCAUGCUUGCCAGUGUCGUAACGCCAACUGUUCACUGCCGUCCUGUCAGAAGAUGAAGCGAGUUGUCCAACAUACCAAAGGCUGCAAGCGCAAGACCAACGGAGGGUGCCCUGUUUGCAAACAACUCAUUGCUCUUUGCUGCUACCAUGCAAAGCACUGCCAGGAGAACAAGUGCCCGGUGCCCUUUUGCCUCAAUAUUAAACACAAGCUUCGCCAACAGCAACUUCAGCACCGUCUGCAGCAGGCCCAGAUGCUCCAAAGGAGGAUGGCGAGCAUGCAGAGGACCGGUGUGGUAGGUCAGCAGCAAAGAUUGCCUUCACCAACCCCAGCCACACCAACAACUCCACCAGGCCAGCAGUGUAGCCCAUAGAGCUAGUUUAGCCUUUUAUUAUAUUUAGCAGUAACGCAAGGAACCUACAGGCCUGUACCCUGUAAGAAAUUAGCUUAAGCAAGAUAGAAUAAGAAUAGCGUAGCAUAGUAGGCCUAUGUCCCUUGGCAUAGAUAAAUGGCCUGACAAGGAGAAAGUUUUCUAUAUGGGCAGCAUGGAUAGAAAGAAACCAUCUAUCCGUGUCAGCACCUGUCCUGGGCAUUAUGAACAGUAAGGCAAUAGGGCUGCUCAGUAAAUUCCCUUAAAACUAAUCUGUCAGUGAUUGCAGCAUAUUGUAUUCCAGGGGAAGCAGUUUCUCCAUUGAAAGGUGACAUUUAACAUCCCACCUCUGUGUUCCCAAUGCCCUUGAGAGGCUUCUCCCUCAUCCUAGCCAAGCUGCUGGUCUCUGUUUCAAUCUCAAGGAGAAUGUUCUGUCCCUGGCUCUGAAGCCUGCAUUCCUUGUGGUGACAGCGCUGGUCAGGAGAGUCCCAGAGCUCCAGGCUGUAGUGACUAGCCCUGCUUAGGGCAUGCUUCCCAAAGAUGAAGUGGUGCUGCAGCCUCCUGCUGAAAGUGGCCUCAAACUUCAAGCUGAGUAAGACCAAUGUACUGUGGGGUUGGUCAGGCUGUCAAGGCUAAGAUGCUGGAGGUGCCCUUUUAGCUACUAACCUAAUGGGACAAAAUCCUUCAUUAAAUCUCUCAGAUAAUUCUUGGGUUAGUCAUGUGUGGAAAUAUCUCAGGAGAGAGGAUCUGUAUGGGCCAUCUACAGGAGCUGUCCUGAAUUAUUUCUCCCCACAAACCCCUGGCUUUCUACUAGUUGCUCUGAAGAACGGGGUGGUUUGGAGGGGAGGUUGGAUUUAGUGCAGCAUAUGCCCCCUUUAAAGUUGGGGGAAAUAGAUUUGCCACCCUGUGCAUGACCCUCCUCUUCCACACUCAGGUGCCCCACCAUUCCUGAGAACCUGAAAUCCCUGGCCCACUCUACCCCCUCUCAAGAGCCUCAGCCCCCUGGAAGCCCCUCCCCUGUACUGUUCUCUCCCAGGACCCCAUCUCCCCUACUCCACACCUGACCCCCUCCCUGCUGGCGAGCCUGGCCAUUGGUGAUGUGUCUGUCUCACUUCCCGGCUGGCCCUUGGUGCUGAGAGGUGCCAUCGUGGUUUUGGCAACUGUCAGGUGAGGCCCCGGUCUGCUGCGCAUACAGAGCGGGACCUGGGUGGCUUCUGUUCCAGUCAUGAUGAGCAUGACCGCUAGUUACAAGAUCACCAAACAGGCAUCAACAAAAAGAAGACCAGCAAGUGACAUCUCUUAACUGGCAAGAGAGUAGAAAACCCAGCCCAGUCAGUGGCAACCCUAUUUUCCGUGUACCUGCUUAAAAGUGGCCAGGCGGUGGCCCAGGUGUCGUGCCCCCCCUCCAGCUCUGCAGCCUAGGGCACAGGCUCUAAUCUACCUUUGGUAGUGGGGGUCGUCUCUCAGUGAUUAGUGGCUAUUCUGGGCUAGAACUGUUCUGUACUCCUGGUUGUGAAAAUGCUUUAGGAUAUUGUUUUCUCGUGCAGUCAAACUAUUAAACAAUGUGUGUUCACCACUGU